AUUGAACGCUGGCGGAAUGCUUUACACAUGCAAGUCGGGCGGCAGCGCGGGGGCAACCCUGGCGGCGAGCGGCGAACGGGUGAGUAAUACAUCGGAACGUGUCCUUGAGUGGGGGAUAGCUCGGCGAAAGCCGGAUUAAUACCGCAUAAGCUCUGAGGAGGAAAGCGGGGGACUGGUAACGGCCUCGCGCUGUUGGAGCGGCCGAUGUCGGAUUAGCUAGUUGGCGGGGAAAAGCCCACCAAGGCGACGAUCCGUAGCUGGUCUGAGAGGACGACCAGCCACACUGGAACUGAGACACGGUCCAGACUCCUACGGGAGGCAGCAGUGGGGAAUUUUGGACAAUGGGCGCAAGCCUGAUCCAGCCAUGCCGCGUGAGU
rnacentral:rRNA from 1 species